rnacentral:tRNA from 1 species
UUAGCAGUAGUAUAUUUAGUAUAACUUCCUUCCAAGAAGUGGGUCCGAGUGUUUGGUUGCUAAA